AAAUGUAUUUCUUUUGAAUUACAGCUAUACGCAUAAUACAAAAGACAAUUUAUCAUCUUUAAAACCAUAAGGCAUAUGAUAUAUGAGAUAGCACAAGGACAUAUCGGCAAGCCUUAGGUUGGUGUUUACGCGUGUAGGUGUGAAUCGCUAUGGUGAUCUGGUCGGAGA